AUUGAACGCUGGCGGCAGGCCUAACACAUGCAAGUCGAGCGGAGCGGCGGACGGGUGAGUAAUGCCUAGGAAUCUGCCUGGUUGUGGGGGAUAACGUCCGGAAACGGGCGCUAAUACCGCAUACUAUCAGAUGAGCCUAGGUCGGAUUAGCUAGUUGGUGGGGUAAAGGCCUACCAAGGCGACGAUCCGUAACUGGUCUGAGAGGAUGAUCAGUCACACUGGAGCUGGGAGACGGUCCAAACUCCUAAGGGAGGCAGCGGUGGGGAAUAUUGGACAAGGGGCGGAAGCCUGAUCCGGCCAUGCCGCGUGUGUGAAGAAGGUCUUCGGAUUGUAAAGCACUUUAAGUUGGGAGGCGUUACCAACAGAAUAAGCACCGGCUAACUACGUGCCAGCAGCCGCGGUAAUUC
rnacentral:rRNA from 1 species